CCUACGGGAGGCAGCAGUAAGGAAUAUUGGACAAUGGACGCAAGUCUGAUCCAGCCAUGCCGCGUGAAGGAUUAAGGCCCUCUGGGUUGUAAACUUCUUUUAUAGGGGACGAAAAAAGGGCUUUCUAGCUCGACUGACGGUACCCUAUGAAUAAGCACCGGCUAACUCCGUGCCAGCAGCCGCGGUAAUACGGAGGGUGCAAGCGUUAUCCGGAUUCACUGGGUUUAAAGGGUGCGUAGGCGGGCAGUUAAGUCAGUGGUGAAAUCUCUGGGCUCAACCCGGAAACUGCCAUUGAUACUAUCUGUCUUGAAUAUUGUGGAGGUGAGCGGAAUAUGUCAUGUAGCGGUGAAAUGCUUAGAUAUGACAUAGAACACCGAUUGCGUAGGCAGCUCGCUACACAUAUAUUGACGCUGAGGCACGAAAGCGUGGGGAUCAAACAGGAUUAGAUACCCUGGUAGUCCACGCCCUAAACUAUGAUUACUCGACAUAUGCGAUACACUGUAUGUGUCUGAGNGAGANAUAUANACACNGAGUACGACGCGAGUAGACGACGAAGAAGUAGACGACGNGAGAGAGCGACGGACGACACGAGGGAGAGG
rnacentral:rRNA from 1 species